rnacentral:rRNA from 1 species
AUUGAACGCUGGCGGCAUGCCUUACACAUGCAAGUCGAACGGCAGCACGGGAGCAAUCCUGGUGGCGAGUGGCGAACGGGUGAGUAAUAUAUCGGAACGUGCCCAGUCGUGGGGGAUAACGCAGCGAAAGCUGUGCUAAUACCGCAUACGAUCUAAGGAUGAAAGAGGGGGAUCGCAAGACCUCGCGCGAUUGGAGCGGCCGAUAUCAGAUGAGCUAGUUGGUUGGGUAAAGGCCCACCAAGGCGACGAUCUGUAGCUGGUCUGAGAGGACGACCAGCCACACUGGAACUGAGACACGGUCCAGACUCCUACGGGAGGCAGCAGUGGGGAAUUUUGGACAAUGGGCGCAAGCCUGAUCCAGCAAUGCCGCGUGCAGGAUGAAGGCCUUCGGGUUGUAAACUGCUUUUGUACGGAGCGAAAAGGCUCUCUCUAAUACAGGGGGCUCAUGACGGUACCGUAAGAAUAAGCACCGGCUAACUACGUGCCAGCAGCCGCGGUAACAC